AACGAACGCUGGCGGCAGGCUUAACACAUGCAAGUCGAACGCCCCGCGAGGGGAGUGGCAGACGGGUGAGUAACGCGUGGGAACAUACCCUUUUCUACGGAAUAGCUCUGGGAAACUGGAAUUAAUACCGUAUACGCCCUACGGGGGAAAGAUUUAUCGGGGAAGGAUUGGCCCGCGUUGGAUUAGCUAGUUGGUGGGGUAAAGGCCUACCAAGGCGGCGAUCCAUAGCUGGUCUGAGAGGAUGAUCAGCCACAUUGGGACUGAGACACGGCCCAAACUCCUACGGGAGGCAGCAGUGGGGAAUAUUGGACAAUGGGCGCAAGCCUGAUCCAGCCAUGCCGCGUGAGUGAUGAAGGCCUUAGGGUUGUAAAGCUCUUUCACCGAUGAAGAUAAUGACGGUAGUCGGAGAAGAAGCCCCGGCUAACUUCGUGCCAGCAGCCGCGGUAAUAC
rnacentral:rRNA from 1 species